CAAUAGCGUAUAUUUAAGUUGCUGCAGUUAAAAAGCUCGUAGUUGGAUUUCGGGUGGGAAUGGCCGGUCCGCCGUUUCGGUGUGCACUUGCUACGCCCACCUUGCUGCCGGGGACGUGCUCUUGAGUUCACGCUCGGGACACGGAGUCGGCGAGGUUACUUUGAGUAAAUUAGAGUGUUCAAAGCAGGCUUACGCCGUUGAAUAUAUUAGCAUGGAAUAAUAAGAUAGGACCUUGGUACUAUUUUGUUGGUUUGCGCACCGAGGUAAUGAUUAAUAGGGACAGUUGGGGGUAUUCGUAUUCCAUUGUCAGAGGUGAAAUUCUUGGAUUUCUGGAAGACGAACUACUGCGAAAGCAUUUACCAAGGAUGUUUUCAUUAA
rnacentral:rRNA from 1 species